UAAUACAUGCAAGUCGAGCGAAUGGAUUAAGAGCUUGCUCUUAUGAAGUUAGCGGCGGACGGGUGAGUAACACGUGGGUAACCUGCCCAUAAGACUGGGAUAACUCCGGGAAACCGGGGCUAAUACCGGAUAACAUUUUGAACCGCAUGGUUCGAAAUUGAAAGGCGGCUUCGGCUGUCACUUAUGGAUGGACCCGCGUCGCAUUAGCUAGUUGGUGAGGUAACGGCUCACCAAGGCAACGAUGCGUAGCCGACCUGAGAGGGUGAUCGGCCACACUGGGACUGAGACACGGCCCAGACUCCUACGGGAGGCAGCAGUAGGGAAUCUUCCGCAAUGGACGAAAGUCUGACGGAGCAACGCCGCGUGAGUGAUGAAGGCUUUCGGGUCGUAAAACUCUGUUGUUAGGGAAGAACAAGUGCUAGUUGAAUAAGCUGGCACCUUGACGGUACCUAACCAGAAAGCCACGGCUAACUACGUGCCAGCAGCCGCGGUAAUACGUAGGUGGCAAGCGUUAUCCGGAAUUAUUGGGCGUAAAGCGCGCGCAGGUGGUUUCUUAAGUCUGAUGUGAAAGCCCACGGCUCAACCGUGGAGGGUCAUUGGAAACUGGGAGACUUGAGUGCAGAAGAGGAAAGUGGAAUUCCAUGUGUAGCGGUGAAAUGCGUAGAGAUAUGGAGGAACACCAGUGGCGAAGGCGACUUUCUGGUCUGUAACUGACACUGAGGCGCGAAAGCGUGGGGAGCAAACAGGAUUAGAUA
rnacentral:rRNA from 3 species